AUGGCGGGAGCGCUCGAGCCUUUUAAGGGAGAUGCUCCGUCGCCCCGGACGCCGGCCUUUCGCCCCUUGUUCUUGCCCCCGCCUUUCCCCGCCGGAGCCCGCAUGGGACCGGCCCAUACUCAGCAUGUCCAGGCGCGCCCGCGUCUUCUUCACCCGCAGGCCGGGCUGGCUCCUCGUGCCCAGCCAAUGAAGACCGCGGUGCGGCCGCGGAAGCUGUACCGCGGCGUGCGGCGGCGGCACGGGUGCAAGUGGGUGGCGGAGAUCCGGCUGCCGCGCAACCGGACCAGGCUCUGGCUCGGCACCUUCGACACCGCCGAGGAGGCUGCUCAUGCUUACGACCAGGCCGCCUGCCGCCUCCACGGGGACGCCGCGCGGCUCAACUUUCCGGACAAGGCCGGCGCCUCGUCGCGGCCCCCCCUCAAAGCUGCCGUUGAUGCCAAGCUCCAGGCCAUCUCCCGCACCAUCGCCGCCGCGUCCAAGAAUACUCCAAGGCCACGCCAAUAA
rnacentral:rRNA from 1 species